rnacentral:rRNA from 1 species
UAGUCAAUGCUCGCAAGAGUGAACUAGCUAACUGAAAUCAUAUAUGUGUCAUAUGUGAUAAAGUAAGGGAAAAUAAUGAUAUUACCUUAUUAUUAGUGUUGUCCAAAACUGGUGCCAGAAGACUCGGUAAGGCCAGAGACGCAAACGUUAGUCGUCCUAAUCAGGCGUAAAGGGUUUGUAGGCUGCUUUAAAAGUCUUAUUUUUAAUAUAGCUAAAAUAAAGAUAAGAUCAAUUAAAGCUAGAAUCAAAUAGAGGGUAAACCAAAUAAUACUUAGAGUAGGGCCGAUAUCCAUAAAUACUAGGUGGAAUACUAAAGGUGAAAGCUUUUUAUCUACUAAUGAUUGACGCUGAGAAACGAAGGUGAGGAAAGGAAACAGGAUUAGAUACCCACAUACCCCUCUCUGUCRACGAUGAAUGGUGGCUUGCUAAUUGAAUAAAACAUUAAAAAGUUUAAUGUAAUUAUAAUAAAAAAUUGGUAGCGAUGUUAACACGAUAACCAUUCCGCCUUGUGAGUACGACUGCAAAGUUGAAAACA